AGUGAACGCUGGCGGCAGGCCUAAUACAUGCAAGUCGAACGGCAGCACAGCAGAGCUUGCUCUGUGGGUGGCGAGUGGCGGACGGGUGAGGAAUACAUGGGAAUCUGCCCAGUCGUGGGGGAUAACGUAUGGAACGUACGCUAAUACCGCAUGCGCCUACGGGGAAGCGGGACCGAAGGCCUGGCGCGAUUGGAUGAGCCCAUGUUCGAUUAGCUAGUUGGCGGGGUAAAGGCCCACCAAGGCGACGAUCGAUAGCUGGUCUGAGAGGAUGAUCAGCCACACUGGAACUGAGACACGGUCCAGACUCCUACGGGAGGCAGCAGUAGGGAAUAUUGGACAAUGGGGGCGAACCCUCGAUCCCAGCCAUGCCGCGUGAGUGAAGAAGGCCCUCGGGUUGUAAAGCUCUUUUGUCCGGAAAGAAAAGCUUCGGUUAAUACCCGGGUGUUCUGACGGUACCGGAAGAUAAGCACCGG
rnacentral:rRNA from 1 species